UCUGGGACCCAAUGGUGUCAGUGUCUCCUGUGCACCCAGGGUUUGGUUGAUCCUGGGCUCCGGGGUUUGGUUGAUCCCGGGCUCCAAGUGAGUGGCUUGGUGCCCGUGGUCUCCUUCUGCCCUCAUCCCCAGCCCAGGAGGAGGCCUUGACCCAUCAUUCUUUAUGCCUGACCCUGCUGCAUUUUCUUUCACGGCAUUUGUCACCAUGUGACGUAUUUAUCUAUCCAUCUUUUGUUGUGUUCAUUUAGUGUCCAGCUCCUCCUCUGGCAUGUAAACUCAGAGGGCUGGGCGUUGGUCAGAUGGGGUUCCUACUGAAGUCCCAGCUCUAAGAUCAGGGCAGGUGGGGACUGAGAUCAAGGCUUCCCAAGGGCGUGGCACAGCUGAGGGUGGAGCUCCUCUCCACCUCCUUGCCCCCUGCCCAGGUCAGUUCUUCUUCUCCAGGGACAGGCCGGGAGGCAAGGGCCCUUUCUUCAUGUCCUCAGAAGGAAGAAUAAAACUCACUGUAUACGGUCCAGGGGUGGCCCUCCAACAAAUAAGUCCAAGUCAUCCCCAGAGUCUGUGAAGCUGACCUCAUUCAGAAAGAGCACCUGUGCAGACGUGGUGAAGUUAAGGAGCUCAAGGUGAGAUCACCCUGGAUUACCUGGCUGGGCCGUAAACCCAAUGACAUGUGUUCUUAUAGGAGACACACAGACAAGAGACACACAGCGAGGAGAGACCACACGAAGACGGAGGCAGAGACUGGAGUAAUGCAGCCACAAGCCAUGGAAUACCUGGGGGCCACCAGGAGUCGGAAGAGGCAGGAAGGGCCCUCCCUUAGAGCCACCGCAGGAAGCACGGCCCUGCCGAUGUCUGGAUUUGGGACUUGUGGCCUCCAGAACGUGAGAGGGCUCCCGGUGAAGCCAAGGCUGAGCCCGCCAGGGUUUCCGAGGGCUGCG
rnacentral:lncRNA from 1 species